AUGUCCUCUCUGCGACAUGCCAUGCCCGUGGUCUUGGUCCUAGUGCAUGCCGUCUUGGCACUGGCACUCCAGGGCCCCGCCGCUGGUUCAGGCGAGGUCCCGGCGGUGAUUGUGUUCGGCGACUCCACCGCGGACACCGGCAACAACAACUUCAUCCAGACCGUAGCCAGGGGCAACUACGCUCCGUACGGGCGGGACUACGCCGGCGGCGUCGCCACCGGCCGCUUCUCCAAUGGCCGCCUCCCCGCCGACUUCGUCUCCGAGGCGCUGGGCCUGCCGCCCUCGGUGCCGGCGUACCUCGACCCCGCCCACACCAUCCACCAUCUCGCCUCGGGCGUCAGCUUCGCCUCCGCAGGCUCCGGACUGGACAACAUUACCGCGCAAAUCCCGUCGGCGAUGACCCUGAGCGAGCAGAUCGACCACUUCAGGCAGUACACGGAGCGGCUGAGACGGGCGAAGGGCGAGGCGGCGGCGCGCCGCAUCAUCGCCGGCGCCCUCUACAUCUUCAGCAUCGGCGCCAGCGACUUCCUGCAGAACUACCUGGUGUUCCCGGUCAGGGGCUACAGCUUCACCCCGGCGGAGUACGAGGCGUACCUCGUGGGCGCCGCGGAGGCGGCCGUGCGGGCCGUGCACGGGCUCGGCGCGCGCGCGGUCACCUUCGCCGGCCUGCCGCCGCUGGGGUGCCUGCCGCUGGAGAGGGCCGUCAACCUCCGCAUCCCCGGGGACUGCAACAGCGCGUACAACAUGGCGGCCGUGAGCUUCAACCGCAGGCUCGAGGGGAUGAUCGGCAGGCUCGGCCGGGAGCUUCCCGGGGCGCGGGUGGCGUACGUCGACCAGUACGGCCUCCUGUCGGCCAUGAUCGCCAGGCCGUGGGAAUAUGGGUUUGAGAACUCGGCCCAAGGAUGCUGUGGCAGUGGCACGGGGUAUGUGGAGACGGGGGCGCUGUGGAGCUUGAAGAGCGCGCUGGCGUGCGACGACGCCGGCAAAUAUGUCUUCUUCGACGCCGUCCAUCCGUCGGAGAGGGCGUACAGGAUGAUAGCUGGUGCGAUCCUAAAUGCCACGUCCCACUCGCGCUUGCACCGCUUCCACUGA
rnacentral:rRNA from 1 species